AAUUCACCCCCCGCCCCCUUUAAUUAAUUCAGUCCCAGACAUAAAAUAUCUACCGGUACUCACAUUUCAAAGAUUCCUUGCCGAGUCCGACCACUGGGUGCCUCACCGCCCGGAAAUGGAUCCUUCCGCUGAAGAUCCGUGAAGGCAGACUGACGGCACUGCGAAAUGUCGUCAUCAUGUUGCGCAAUGCCACGGCCCGCAACGCUCCUCCUACAGUAGAAGAAGGAAGUCUCGCCGCAAAGGUGCAAUGCCUAGGUCUUAUUUUCGGGGUAGGGCUUAUAUUGCAGCCCACCCCGAAAAUCCGACUAGGGCUUAUUUUCGGGGUAGGGUUUAUUUUCGGGGAAACAGGGUAUU